rnacentral:rRNA from 1 species
ACUCCUACGGGAGGCAGCAGUGGGGAAUAUUGCACAAUGGGCGCAAGCCUGAUGCAGCCAUGCCGCGUGUGUGAAGAAGGCCUUCGGGUUGUAAAGCACUUUCAGUAGGGAGGAAGGUAGUGUAGUUAACACCUGCAUUAUUUGACGUUACCUACAGAAGAAGCACCGGCUAACUCCGUGCCAGCAGCCGCGGUAAUACGGAGGGUGCGAGCGUUAAUCGGAAUUACUGGGCGUAAAGCGCAUGCAGGCGGCCUGUUAAGUCAGAUGUGAAAGCCCGGGGCUUAACCUCGGAAUUGCAUUUGAAACUGGCAGGCUAGAGUCUUGUAGAGGGGGGUAGAAUUUCAGGUGUAGCGGUGAAAUGCGUAGAGAUCUGAAGGAAUACCAGUGGCGAAGGCGGCCCCCUGGACAAAGACUGACGCUCAGAUGCGAAAGCGUGGGGAGCAAACAGGAUUAGAUACCCUGGUAGGAUAGCG